ACUUACUUUAAUUGCAGGAACAGCAGAUUUCAAGCCGGGCUACUGGGUGGGUCUGAAGUACGAUGAGCCCAUGGGAAAGCAUAAUGGAACUGUCAAUGGCAAGCAAUACUUUGAAUGCGAGGACAAAUAUGGAGGAUUUGUGAAGCCCCAAAAUGUGACGGUGGGAGACUUUCCUGAGGAGGAUUUCGGUAUCGAUGAGAUGUAGGACUGUAAUGUGUGUUUCUGCCCGGGAAUGUGAGUGUCGACCUCAAGCUGUUUCCAUUCACCGACCAGAGAGGAUACAAAGUCUCAUCAUAACUAAUGCAUUUUCUGUUUUUUGUAUUUUUACUUUGUGCCUCUCUGUGGGGCAUUAUCCAAAGCAUGGUGUCUAAAGGUCUGUGAUGCUCAGAUUCUCUCUCACUACACAACAUGAAUGAGGAGAAUGUCAGGUAGUACAUCUCCUGGUUUGCUACAUAUGAGAAUGGUACAGGAUAAUCACACCAACAAUGUCUAAUAAAGGGGGUUUAGUUGCAUGUGUCACAAGGUCAAUAUGUGGUCAUUUACUUCAUGCACUUCAGUUUAAUUUACUUGCUUUUGCAGUACCUGUUGCUUCCAAAUGUUCUGUACAUGGGAGUCAUCUUGGUAAUCUGAAAGCCUCUAUUGACAGUUAUAAAACCAAUUUAAUUUCUCUUCAAUGAUUUUUUGUAUCGGUUAGUACAAAGAUGAUUGUCAUAACUGUUUUUGCAUUUUUUUUAUGACUGUUAUAUGCUGAAAGUUAUCAUAGAAACUUAGAGCUUCAUGUAUACAAUGUCUGGGAAGAGAUUUUUUAAAUGUAUAGGAGGAUAUUUCUCAAUAAACAACUCCUAAAUUCCUUAUAUUUCUUUUAUGAUUUGUAUAUAAUCUGAUUAAACUCAUUUUAAGGUUUCCAAGUGGAUACAAUAUGUAAAUCCCAGUUAUAUUUCUCGGACUGAAUACCUCUUGCCAAAAAAUGAAAAUGUAUGCAACUGAAUGUGUCCUGCUCUUAUUGAACCACUGAAAUAAAACCGUAUUUUAAGUUUAAAUUGUGGGGCUCCAAAUGUGAAAGAUUACCAAACAGUUUUCUACGUUAAACUAAACUAUGAAGUAUACAAAUGGAUGACAAAAUCUAAGAAUAAAUGGUAAUAAAAACUAUAUUUUCAAGUCCCCAGAUAUGUCUCAGAAAACAAUCAGAACUGUGACAUUUAUAUUCGAAUUAACUAUUUAUUUAAAUUGAAGUCAAACCUAACAAUGUUUUUUUGUAAUUGAUGUAGUUCCAUAUAAGUCUGACACAUUGAUUUUCAUUCAGUUUGAGUACAAUCUUUAGCACUUUCUUUUCAUGUCCUUUAAAACAGUGUUUUGUUUGGAUUGGUGGUUUAAGUGAUUUACAUUUAGAAGCAAACCUGUGUUUCCCAUCUAUAAGUAUAAAUAUACUUACAGAUGGGAAAAUGAUAUGUAUUUAUAAGUCAUAUUUAAAAAAAAUAAGGUAACAGUAACAACUAUCACUCUCAAUAUAACUCAUUCUCCAUUGUAAUCCCAACACAGCUCUGAAAAAGGAAUAAUAUGCCUUAUUUAUGCUUUGUUUUUAUUUGACUGUUCCAAUACUGUUAACAUAUUUGUCAUCCUCUCUAGUUUACAGAAGAAAUGUUUAUUUAUUUUUUCAGAAGAUAUGUGAUUACCACUUAUACAGAAAUGUAGUGUUCUUUUUUCUCUCUAAAAUAAUCUCUAAGGUGCUUGUGAUACUAUGUGCCAAAGGGUAAUGCAUAUUAAUAAAAAUGAUUUGCCAGUA